rnacentral:rRNA from 1 species
CAGCAGCCGCGGGAAAACGGAGGGUGCAAGCGUUAAUCGGAAUUACUGGGCGUAAAGCGCACGCAGGCGGUCUGACAAGUCAGAUGUGAAAUCCCCGGGCUUAACCUGGGAACUGCAUUUGAAAUUGUCAGGCUGGAGUCUUGUAGAGGGGGGUGGAAUUCCAGGUGUAGCGGUGAAAUGCGUAGAGAUCUGGAGGAAUACCGGUGGCGAAGGCGGCCCCCUGGACAAAGACUGACGCUCAGGUGCGAAAGCGUGGGGAGCAAACAGGAUUAGAUACCCCGGUAGUCCCUGUCUCUUAUAC